rnacentral:rRNA from 1 species
CGAGCUUGAUCCUGGCUCAGAACGAAUGCUGGCGGCAGGCCUAACACAUGCAAGUCGAGCGGACAACCUCAAACAGGUUGUUAGCGGCGAACGGGUGAGUAACACGUGAGAAUCUACCUUGUUCAACGGGAUAGCUUAAGGAAACUUGAGGUAAUACCGUAUGAUUCCUGCAACAGGUAAAGAUUUCAAUCGGAACAAGAUGAGCUUACGGUAGAUUAGCUAGUUGGUGGGGUAAAAGCCUACCAAGGCCAAGAUCUAUAGCUGGUCUGGGAGGACGAACAGCCACAUUGGGACUGAGACAAGGCCCAACCCUCUUAGGAGGGCAGCAGUGAGGAAUAUUGGACAAUGGGCGUAAGCCUGAUCCAGCCAUGCCGCAUGAGUGACCUGAAGGUCCAAUGGACUGUAAAACUCUUAGACUAAUGAUUAAUAGUGAUAACGUUAGUUAAAUAAAGCUCCGGCCAACUUCGUGCCAGCAGCCGCGGUAAUACGAGGGGAGCGAGUGUUGUUCAGUUUUAUUGGGCGUAAAGGGCACUCAGGUUGCUUCAUAAGUUAACAACCAAAUCUUGGAACUUAAUUCCAUCACGGUUAUUAAUACUGUGUUGCUUAGAACUUGGUGGAGGUGAUCAUAAUUCCAAGUGUAGAGGUGAAAUUCGUUGAUAUUUGGAGGAGUACCAAAGGCGAAGGCAGAUCAUCAUGCUAAGUUGACACUGAAGGUGCGAAAGCAUGGGGAGCAAACAGGAUUAGAUACCCUGGUAGUCCAUGCCCUAAACGUUGAGAGCUAACAGUUAAACGACAUAUGUCAAACCAUAUUUUCGUUGAUUGUACAACUAACGUGUUAAGCACUCCGCCUGGGGAUUACGACCGCAAGGUUAAAACUCAAAGGAAUUGACGGAGACCCGCACAAGCGGUGGAGCAUGUGGUUUAAUUCGAAGCUACACGAAGAACCUUACCAGCCCUUGACAUACCAAGAUUUAACAUCCUGGAAACAGGAUGCCAAUUCAAUGGCUAAGACCCGUUGAACAACUUGGAACAGGUGCUGCAUGGCUGUUGUCAGCUCGUGUCGUGAGAUGUAUGGUUAAGUUCCAUAACGAGCAUAACCCUCAUCCAUAGUUGCCGAAAACAAGUAAUGAGUGGCUCUCUAUGGAGACUGCCAACGUAAGUUGGAGGAAGGUGAGGACCACAACAAGUCAUCAUGGCCCUUAUGGGCUGGGCCACACACGUGCUACAAUGGUAGGUACAAAGAGUCGCAAUACCGCGAGGUGGAGCUAAUCUCAUUAAAACCUAUCUCAGUCCGGAUUGUACUCUGCAACCCGAGUACAUGAAGUAGGAAUCGCUAGUAAUCGUGGAUCAGCAUGCCACGGUGAAUACGUUCUCGGGUCUUGUACACACCGCCCGUCACACCAUGGGAGUCAUUUUUGUUUCAAGUCCAUUCAGAUAUGGACGUCGACAACGUUGAUGACCGAGGUGAAGUCGUAACAAGGUAGCCGUAGGUGAACCUGUGGCUGAAACAGAU